rnacentral:rRNA from 1 species
GAGCUUGCUCCCGGAUGUUAGCGGCGGACGGGUGAGUAACACGUGGGUAACCUGCCUGUAAGACUGGGAUAACUCCGGGAAACCGGAGCUAAUACCGGAUAGUUCCUUGAACCGCAUGGUUCAAGGAUGAAAGACGGUUUCGGCUGUCACUUACAGAUGGACCCGCGGCGCAUUAGCUAGUUGGUGAGGUAACGGCUCACCAAGGCGACGAUGCGUAGCCGACCUGAGAGGGUGAUCGGCCACACUGGGACUGAGACACGGCCCAGACUCCUACGGGAGGCAGCAGUAGGGAAUCUUCCGCAAUGGACGAAAGUCUGACGGAGCAACGCCGCGUGAGUGAUGAAGGUUUUCGGAUCGUAAAGCUCUGUUGUUAGGGAAGAACAAGUGCAAGAGUAACUGCUUGCACCUUGACGGUACCUAACCAGAAAGCCACGGCUAACUACGUGCCAGCAGCCGCGGUAAUACGUAGGUGGCAAGCGUUGUCCGGAAUUAUUGGGCGUAAAGGGCUCGCAGGCGGUUUCUUAAGUCUGAUGUGAAAGCCCCCGGCUCAACCGGGGAGGGUCAUUGGAAACUGGGAAACUUGAGUGCAGAAGAGGAGAGUGGAAUUCCACGUGUAGCGGUGAAAUGCGUAGAGAUGUGGAGGAACACCAGUGGCGAAGGCGACUCUCUGGUCUGUAACUGACGCUGAGGAGCGAAAGCGUGGGGAGCGAACAGGAUUAGAUACCCUGGUAGUCCACGCCGUAAACGAUGAGUGCUAAGUGUUAGGGGGUUUCCGCCCCUUAGUGCUGCAGCUAACGCAUUAAGCACUCCGCCUGGGGAGUACGGUCGCAAGACUGAAACUCAAAGGAAUUGACGGGGGCCCGCACAAGCGGUGGAGCAUGUGGUUUAAUUCGAAGCAACGCGAAGAACCUUACCAGGUCUUGACAUCCUCUGACAACCCUAGAGAUAGGGCUUUCCCUUCGGGGACAGAGUGACAGGUGGUGCAUGGUUGUCGUCAGCUCGUGUCGUGAGAUGUUGGGUUAAGUCCCGCAACGAGCGCAACCCUUGAUCUUAGUUGCCAGCAUUUAGUUGGGCACUCUAAGGUGACUGCCGGUGACAAACCGGAGGAAGGUGGGGAUGACGUCAAAUCAUCAUGCCCCUUAUGACCUGGGCUACACACGUGCUACAAUGGACAGAACAAAGGGCUGCGA